rnacentral:rRNA from 1 species
UACGUAGGGUGCAAGCGUUGUCCGGAAUUAUUGGGCGUAAAGAGCUCGUAGGCGGUCUGUCGCGUCUGCUGUGAAAACUCGGGGCUUAACCCCGGGCCUGCAGUGGGUACGGGCAGACUAGAGUGCGGUAGGGGAGACUGGAAUUCCUGGUGUAGCGGUGAAAUGCGCAGAUAUCAGGAGGAACACCUGUGGCGAAGGCGGGUCUCUGGGCCGUAACUGACGCUGAGGAGCGAAAGCGUGGGGAGCGAACAGG